rnacentral:rRNA from 1 species
AAUUUUCCGCAAUGGGCGAAAGCCUGACGGAGCAAUACCGCGUGAGGGAGGAAGGCUCUUGGGUUGUAAACCUCUUUUCUGGGGGAAGAAGUCCUGACGGUACCCCAGGAAUCAGCAUCGGCUAACUCCGUGCCAGCAGCCGCGGUAAUACGGAGGAUGCAAGCGUUAUCCGGAAUUAUUGGGCGUAAAGCGUCCGCAGGUGGAACAUCAAGUCUGCUGUCAAAGACCGGAGCUUAACUCCGGGCAGGCAGUGGAAACUGGUGAACUAGAGUACGGUAGGGGUAGAGGGAAUUCCCAGUGUAGCGGUGAAAUGCGUAGAGAUUGGGAAGAACACCAGUGGCGAAGGCGCUCUUCUGGGCCGUAACUGACACUAAGGGACGAA